rnacentral:rRNA from 1 species
ACGAACGCUGGCGGCACGCUUAACACAUGCAAGUCGAACGAGAGAAGAGAAGCUUGCUUUUCUGAUCUAGUGGCGGACGGGUGAGUAACACGUGAGCAAUCUGCCUUUCAGAGGGGGAUACCGAUUGGAAACGAUCGUUAAUACCGCAUAAUAUAAUUGAACCGCAUGAUUUGAUUAUCAAAGAUUUAUCGCUGAAAGAUGAGCUCGCGUCUGAUUAGCUAGUUGGUAAGGUAACGGCUUACCAAGGCGACGAUCAGUAGCCGGACUGAGAGGUUGAUCGGCCACAUUGGGACUGAGACACGGCCCAGACUCCUACGGGAGGCAGCAGUGGGGAAUAUUGCACAAUGGAGGAAACUCUGAUGCAGCGAUGCCGCGUGAGGGAAGAAGGUUUUAGGAUUGUAAACCUCUGUCUUCAGGGACGAAAAAAGACGGUACCUGAGGAGGAAGCUCCGGCUAACUACGUGCCAGCAGCCGCGGUAAUACGUAGGGAGCGAGCGUUGUCCGGAAUUACUGGGUGUAAAGGGAGCGUAGGCGGGAUCGCAAGUCAGAUGUGAAAACUAUGGGCUUAACCCAUAAACUGCAUUUGAAACUGUGGUUCUUGAGUGAAGUAGAGGUAAGCGGAAUUCCUAGUGUAGCGGUGAAAUGCGUAGAUAUUAGGAGGAACAUCAGUGGCGAAGGCGGCUUACUGGGCUUUAACUGACGCUGAGGCUCGAAAGCGUGGGGAGCAAACAGGAUUAGAUACCCUGGUAGUCCACGCCGUAAACGAUGAUUACUAGGUGUGGGGGGACUGACCCCUUCCGUGCCGCAGCAAACGCAAUAAGUAAUCCACCUGGGGAGUACGACCGCAAGGUUGAAACUCAAAGGAAUUGACGGGGGCCCGCACAAGCAGUGGAGUAUGUGGAUUAAUUCGAAGCAACGCGAAGAACCUUACCAGGUCUUGACAUCGUAUGCAUAGCUCAGAGAUGAGUGAAAUCUCUUCGGAGACAUAUAGACAGGUGGUGCAUGGUUGUCGUCAGCUCGUGUCGUGAGAUGUUGGGUUAAGUCCCGCAACGAGCGCAACCCUUACUGUUAGUUGCUACGCAAGAGCACUCUAGCAGGACUGCCGUUGACAAAACGGAGGAAGGUGGGGAUGAUGUCAAAUCAUCAUGCCCCUUAUGACCUGGGCCUCACACGUACUACAAUGGCUGUUAACAGAGGGAUGCAAAGCCGCGAGGUGGAGCGAACCCCUAAAAGCAGUCUUAGUUCGGAUUGUAGGCUGCAACCCGCCUACAUGAAGUCGGAAUUGCUAGUAAUCGCAGAUCAGCAUGCUGCGGUGAAUACGUUCCCGGGCCUUGUACACACCGCCCGUCACGCCAUGGGAGUCGGUAACACCCGAAGCCUGUAGUCUAACCGCAAGGAGGACGCAGUCGAAGGUGGGAUUGAUGACUGGGGUG